CUUGCACCUUAUCUUAGCGGCGGACGGGUGAGUAAUGCUUAGGAAUCUGCCAUUUAGUGGGGGACAACAUUCCGAAAGGAAUGCUAAUACCGCAUACGUCCUACGGGAGAAAGCAGGGGAUCUUCGGACCUUGCGCUAAAUGAUGAGCCUAAGUCGGAUUAGCUAGUUGGUGGGGUAAAGGCCUACCAAGGCGACGAUCUGUAGCGGGUCUGAGAGGAUGAUCCGCCACACUGGGACUGAGACACGGCCCAGACUCCUACGGGAGGCAGCAGUGGGGAAUAUUGGACAAUGGGCGGAAGCCUGAUCCAGCCAUGCCGCGUGUGUGAAGAAGGCCUUUUGGUUGUAAAGCACUUUAAGCGAGGAGGAGGCUACUAGUACUAAUACUACUGGAUAGUGGACGUUACUCGCAGAAUAAGCACCGGCUAACUCUGUGCCAGCAGCCGCGGUAAUACAGAGGGUGCGAGCGUUAAUCGGAUUUACUGGGCGUAAAGCGUGCGUAGGCGGCUUUUUAAGUCGGAUGUGAAAUCCCCGAGCUUAACUUGGGAAUUGCAUUCGAUACUGGGAAGCUAGAGUAUGGGAGAAGAUGGUAGAAUUCCAGGUGUAGCGGUGAAAUGCGUAGA
rnacentral:rRNA from 1 species